GACGAACGCUGGCGGCGUGCUUAACACAUGCAAGUCGAACGGAAAGGCCCUGCUUUUGUGGGGUGCUCGAGUGGCGAACGGGUGAGUAACACGUGAGUAACCUGCCCUUGACUUUGGGAUAACUUCAGGAAACUGGGGCUAAUACCGGAUAGGAGCUCCUGCUGCAUGGUGGGGGUUGGAAAGUUUCGGCGGGUGGGGAUGGACUCGCGGCUUAUCAGCUUGUUGGUGGGGUAGUGGCUUACCAAGGCUUUGACGGGUAGCCGGCCUGGGAGGGUGACCGGCCACAUUGGGCCUGAGAUACGGCCCAGACUCCUACGGGAGGCAGCAGUGGGGAAUAUUGCACAAUGGGCGGAAGCCUGAUGCAGCAACGCCGCGUGCGGGAUGACGGCCUUCGGGUUGUAAACCGCUUUCGCCUGUGACGAAGCGUGAGUGACGGUAAUGGGUAAAGAAGCACCGGCUAACUACGUG
rnacentral:rRNA from 1 species